GGGAAAGUGGCUCAGUGGUAGAGUGUUUGCCUCAUAUGCAGGAGGCCCUGGGUUCAAUUCCUCAGCACUCCA
rfam:Dipodomys ordii contig_13122, whole genome shotgun sequence.